UGUACAACUUCACCAAAGUUACCUGAGUAACAGCAAAAACAAAGAAACCAAGAUGAAACAUCAAUCAAUAGAACAUACGCUUCAUAUUCCCUUUGUGAUCAACAGAUUGAAAAAGAGACGGAGAGAAAACUGACUCAAUUUCCUUGACAAUCACCAUCCAUGUAGCAUCACACAUUUGAUAAGCAGAAUAUCAGUUAAUCCAUUUUUCACUAACCAAACAAGCCCUAUCAAACAGUCAUUAACAAAAUUGAAUGAUUGGAUACGGAUAGAUUACUUUUAUGUCUACUAGUAAAAGCUACUAUGCACUAAAGAAGAAUCAAUCAUUCAACUGGUCAGCAAUGAAUAACUGCAACCUCCUCAACUUCAUACUUAUUAAAACACUGACCAAUUUCUCUUUACAAGCAAUUUUUUUUAAAACAAAUACUCCUCAUUCACUCUGCAACAGUCCAACAGCUUGCAAAAAGCAGUAUUGGAAUUUUCACAUAUAUGCCCAUUCAGCAGAUUCUUACUACUCACAAUUACACACUGUGCAAUUAGAAACUCUAAAAAACAAGCUUAAAAUGCAAGCCUAUUUUCCCAUUUGGUUGGGAGCUACAUGUUUCACAGGAAAAUCAGAUUGCAUACAUAAACAUAAUUGGAAAAUUUAGAUUUCUGUCAUUACAAAGCUAACAUAGUUUACUAAAUGAAAAUAGCCAAGUUAUGUCAACCUUUUCAAAUUACAAAAAAGACAGUCUUGAAAAGGACAAAAACUAAGGACACAUCAUAAAAAAGCAAGGUGCAGAACUUACUGAAUAUCUCUUUUAAAUGG
rnacentral:misc_RNA from 1 species